UUCCCUCCUCUCCUCGUUUCCUCUCCAGCCUCCGCCCCACUGCUUCGGUAAACGGGAACUCCCCCUAAGUUCCCCCGGUUCUCCUCCUGCUGCCUGUCUGCUCAUUCUCUCCAUGAGCUGUCACACACUCACACACUCUCACACACACUCACAGGCGGAGUAAGUGCACACUGUGGAGCGGUAACGUCCUCACUCUUCUCCGGCUAAAGCCGUGAAGAAGCGGCUUUUUUUGGGGGGGGUGGGGGCUUCGCUGUCUGCGCCCAGGCCGGCGGAGUCGUGACGGAGUUGGGCAGGAGGAGAAGGAGGUGAAGAAAGGUGGUGACCUCCUGUUGGCCGGACACACUCACCGGGACACAAGGGUCAACUGUAGGACUCAUCAAGGGUGAACUGUUCAGAGAAUCUCUCAGAGACAAGGAGGGAGUCAGCCAUCGCUGGUCCUGUGCUACUAUUAUAAAGGGCUGUGUUACUCAGACUGGAGAAAUGUGACGGCCUCGCCGGCCUCACUGAUCUAGACCUCUGGGCUGCUACUGUUGAACGACGGCUGAUGCCCCAGCUGGAUCUUCCGUCGUCGCCAUUUUCCACGACUAUCAUUAGUGGCUAAUGAGCUACUUCUAGAGAGGAAA